rnacentral:rRNA from 1 species
CUGCCUACGGGAGGCAGCAGUAGGGAAUCUUCCACAAUGGACGAAAGUCUGAUGGAGCAACGCCGCGUGAGUGAAGAAGGGUUUCGGCUCGUAAAGCUCUGUUGGUAGUGAAGAAAGAUAGAGGGAGUAACUGGCCUUUAUUUGACGGUAAUUACUUAGAAAGUCACGGCUAAAUACGUGCCAGCAGCCGCGGUAAUACGUAGGUGGCAAGCGGUGGUCGGAUUUAUUGGGCGUAAAGCGGGUGCAGGCGGGUCAAUAA